GAAGAAGAUGUUAAAGACUUUAAGCAACCAUCACAGUAAUGGAUUUCGGUCACAAAAAUGAGACUGAAAUUGAAAAUAGUGAAAAUUAUGAAAUUCAAAGCACAGAAGAAACUGAAUUAAUCUAUACUUGUCCAGAUGAAAGAAGUGAAAAGAAUCAUGUUGGUUGUCUUCUCAAUAUCAGUGACGUUACACUUGAACAAGAUAAAACAGCCGAAGAGUUUGUCAUUGGAACUGGAUGGGAAGAAGCAGUCCGAGGCUGGGGGCAGAUAUCUCCAACUGCCUGCAUCUGGCCCAGGAAGAAGCUUAAGAAGGCGAGGGUGGGAGAAAGUGCCAGCAGCUGCUUACUCUGUGUCAAUCUCUCCCAUGGGAGCCUGGAGGCCAGGCUUCAUUCGGAGGUGGGGAAGUUGGAGUCUGGGGCUUCAGCUCCAGCUCCAGCUGAGGCAGGCCCAGAGAAGGAUGGAGGCAGCCUCUCCCAGACGCCGGGCACCCCCCCAGGCCCCACUACAACCUCCAGGGAAGUUAACAAAAUCUGCUUUCCCACCUACAGUCAGGGAGAGAAGAAAAGUCUGCAAAUAAAGGAGUUCAUUUGGUGCCUGGAAGACUGGGCCACCCCGGAGACUGUUAGGGGCAAGGACCCCAGAAGGCCCUGGAGAGGCACUGACAGAAUUCUCCCCUCCUCAGACUCCCUGACUUCCAAAGCCCUUUUAGUCCUCCCUCCCUUGAAGUCUUCGCCCCCAGAUGGCUUGGAUGUUCUGGGUAAGAAGACUAAGAACUUUUUCUUGCGGCCAGAAGAGAAGGGGCUGAGUGUGGAAAAGGAUGAGUGUGUGGCUUAUGCCUAUGGAGUGAAAGCCGUUGACGGGGCAGGCGAAAAGCAGCCCACUGAGCUGGCCAGGCACCACAAAGUCAAGGACAUGCAGCCUUUCCUCACUCCGGUGGCCCGGAUGCCCCUGCUGGCCGAGCCUGAGCCCUGCUGCCUGCACUGGUCCCUCCUGCCUGAGAAAAACCUGCUGUGCCCUCCCUGCUAUCUUGCCACCUUCCAGCUUUUGCAGAAACAAGGAGCGAGGAACUACAAAGCCAGACUCAAAGCCAGGGAGCCCAGGCCUCCCAUGAAAACCCCAAAGCGCGUCCUCACAGAGGCCAAGCAGGAAAACAGGCCCCAAAUGUUGGAGACCAAAGUGUUCUCAAGACCUCUCUUGCCGUCCCUCACAGUGAGCAGAGUUGUUAUUCCCAUUUCCACUCACAGACUCCUUUGA
rnacentral:lncRNA from 1 species